GAUGAAGAACGUAGCAAAAUGCGAUAAGUAAUGUGAAUUGCAGAAUUCAGUGAAUCAUCGAAUCUUUGAACGCACAUUGCGCCCGCUGGUAUUCCGGCGGGCAUGCCUGUUCGAGCGUCAUUUCAACCCUCAAGCCCCCGGGUUUGGUGUUGGGGAUCGGCUCUGCCCUUCUGGGCGGUGCCGCCCCCGAAAUACAUUGGCGGUCUCGCUGCAGCCUCCAUUGCGUAGUAGCUAACACCUCGCAACUGGAACGCGGCGCGGCCAUGCCGUAAAACCCCAACUUAUGAAUGUUGACCUCGGAGCAGGUAGGAAUACCCGCUGAACUUAAGCAUAUCAAUAAGCGGAGGA
rnacentral:misc_RNA from 1 species